AGUUUAAGCGACCGUGCUCGAACCACGGAACUCGGGAAUGCCUAAAACCUUCUUCCGGGUUAACAGAAUUCCUUAAGUAGAAUUUCUAGUUCAUAGGCUUUUAAAAUAAAGUCGAAAUUUCCUCAAUUUGGGAUUUUUAAAUAAAUUGGUAACUUGGGACACCCAAAUAAACUAUUCCAAGUGGCGAUUCUGAAAGAAUUAAUAAAACAAUUCCAUUUCCAUUAAUGUCACUUAAAUUGGAAAAAUUCCCUUAUAUCUGCCCUCGGGUGGGAAAAGAAGGUAUGACAAUACUCAAGCUACUGAAGAGUCAAAUGAAGAAGAGAUGCGGGUAAAUCUGGAUUUGCUUGAAGAAAGGAGGGAAACUGCCCUAAUAAGAACGGCAGCGCAAAAACAAGUUACUGAGCGAUAUUAUAAUCAGAAAGCUCGUCUCAGAUACUUCAAGAUUGGGGACUACGUACUCAAGAAUAUUUUUCAAUCCAGAAGAGUAGCCAAUGCAGGAAAGUUAAGUCCAAAUUGGGAAGGGCAUUACAAGAUUCGUGGUAUUAUAGGAAAAGGUGUAUAUGAGCUUGAAACCAUGGAUGGCAAGAUUCUGCCGUCAAGUUGGAAUGUUGUUCAUCUGAAAAAGUAAUUUCUAAGGGAAGGAAAUACCAACAGUCAGGAAAGUGAACGCAUGGAAGGAAUAAUCAAGUGCUCGAGAUUUCAUACUUCAAAGCUCAAACACUUGGGGGACUAUAUAAUAUACAUAUAAUAUAUGUAUAAGGAAGGCAAUAAAGGCUGAAACAAUUAAAUUUCAAGUCAAUCCUAAAGUCUACUCAACAAAUAUCAUGUUCAGAGCAAAAUCACGAGCCAAAAACGCAAGCCCAAUUCGAAAACCUGUGAAGAGUACACCCGUGGAUAUAGAUUUCAAAAUCUUACGAAUGUUUAGGUUAAAGGAAAUAUUUAGCCAUGGGUCAUAAAGAAACCCUUGAAUUUUCUUUUUUACAAAUUUGUUGUAAAGAAAACAGUUACGGAAGAGUUAUAGAAGAUACUUAAAUAUAUGUAAGGUAUUAUUCAGUUCGAAUGAAAUAAAACUUUUCUCAAAGUUAUUCCAAGAAACAUGUGUGAUCCUAUUUCUCCUUUCGUAUGUUUACACCAUUAUGAAGUUGAAACAUCUUCUUCAUUAAGUGUAUAUAAAAGGGCCCUCUUUUAUAAUUCAUGUUUGAUUCAAAUAAGUCAUGAAAUUAUCUAAGCAUUUUUAAAUGCAAAAGUUAAAAGGGUAAAACAAAAACCCGCGUAUUAAAAUUGAAGUGGAAAACAAAGCCUUAAACUUAAAAGGAAAAAUCAAGGGCAAACCACUAAAAGAGUAAAAUAGAAACUCAAAUCAAAGGCAUCAUAAAAGAGAGCACAAACUUUUUGAUAUCUUAAAUAACUUAGUUAAAACUAAGUAUGAACUUAGUCCUAACCUAAUUGUCAUUAUAAACCCCAGAAUAGGACUGGAGGAAUGAUGUUACCAAAAAACAUUACCCCUAAAUGGGACCAGGGGUAAAACCACCAAUUGUUCACCAACAAAACAAAAAAAAUCUAGUUAACUUCACAAUUAAACUUUCACUAUAGAGCAGAUUUUGAACCAGUAUUCAAGAUGGCAUCAUCAGCAGCAGAAGGAUCAACUUGAUCAGAAGGAGCUGGGACAUCUACUACGCCAGGAUUAGCUUCAACAAUUUCGGGAGAAUCAGCCAUGGGUGAAGAAAAACUUUGGCUUUGCUGAGUUUUUUUAAUUGUCUCCUUAAUCUUUGCUAACUCAACGUCCAAGUUAAAACCUUCCUAACUUACCUCCAUAAGAGAAUCAUGGCGGGUGCUCAAAAUGGCCCAACUUUCUUCAAUAGCGGCCUUGAGCUCUUCUUUCUUAGCUAAAGCAGCAUCAUAAGAAUCCUGUAAUAGAGCAAGCGAACUCUCCAAAAACCUAACUUUAUCGGUGGACACUCAAAGGUCUUCUUGGGCUUUAGUGAGCGUUUGAACAAGCUCACUUGCAUAAACAUCUUUCUCAUCUAGCAAGGCUUUUAGACCUCUGAUCUCUUCUGUUGCCUUAGAGAGUUGUUCAGCAAAAGAUGACUCAAGAAGGUGUUUGUCCUUGCCUGCCUGGUUGGAAGAGGCUUUCUUAAUUUCUAGCUCCGCUGCCAUGAUUUUAAUGUGUUGCUCCAAGGUAUAUUUGUUCUUUUCUAAAACUUCCAUCUCAAGCUGAAGACUUUUAUAGUGUUCUUUCCAAUUAUCAGCCUCAAUCUGAUAGUCAUGCGUCAACUGCUUCGUAUGGGAAACCCUUUUCAUCAUCUUCGUACCGAUGAGAUUAAUCUACAUAAAAAAAGGAUGAGAAUCCUAGUAAAGGGAAAUUACGUUAGGUAAAAAGGGAAGCCUAUACAUUCAAUGAUGAUUUCACGAUGUCGUUAAUCCAAGUUAAAGAACUGUGACUCUCCAGUUUUGACUUUUCCUCUGGACCUAUCAAGGGUUUUAGCCAUACAUAAGCUUGGCCCGACUUCUUCAGAAGAUUACCAUCAACAGGAACCUCAAUGGUAAUUUGCUUCAUUGCCCUGCUACCACUUGAAGAACCAAUUUCAUGACGAGAAGUAUUGGUAGCAGGAACGGUUGAAGAAGUUAUAAUAGCUUCGGUUAUUAUAAAUAGAAGCUAACUGCUAAAUAAAAGGCAUCUUUGGUUUCAGCAAUGUGCGAGGCGAGUUGAUUUGUAAUUGGAAUUUGGUUGACUUAAGUUGAAAUGGCUUGUCAUAUUUUGUUUGGGUAAUAAUAAAAGAUUACGUGAAGUUAUGUGCAGCCCAUUUUAAA